rnacentral:lncRNA from 1 species
GCCAUUUCAAGCGAGGACAGUCGUAACAAUGGAUACAGCUCCUUUGCCAAAAGUGUCUGUAAAUUUGCUUUAAGAGUGUAAUGCUGUAACGUAGUUUUAUUUAUUACGUACUGCUAACACAAUGAAAGCUGAGGCGUUACAUGAUAGUUCAAAAUUAUCAGAUUUUUAUAACUGCAAGAAGUUCCCGAAGAUGCUGUUAAUGUCCUAAAAGGGUAAAGGCAAAGCAAGUAUUUUAGCAUCAGGUUGUUAUUUGGAAAAAAAAAAAAAAAAAAAAAAAAAAUCCAAAUUCUGCACUUCUAAUAUUUGCUAAAUGGAAUAGAAGACAUGGAAUCUCUUGGACCAGCUCAGAAUGAACAGCCCAUUAUAGUGUGUAUUACAAGUUCAUUCUAUAUUAAAGCAGUAAAUCACUUAAAAGCAUGCCCAAAUCAUGCCAUGAAGGCAUUUGACAUUCUAUUUAAAACUAAUUUUGUAUUUAGCGUUCAAUAUGCACAUACAUCAAUAAAUUUUUAUAAUUUUGUGGCAAGCCUUUUGUAUAAUGUCAGCACUCCUAGAGCUUGUGUGGACUCUUUAAAUAC